UUUUUUUUUCUUUUUUCUUUUUUUGCUUUUUAGUUCUGCACCCACAGCAUAUGAAAGUUCCCAGGCUAGGGGUCAAAUCGUGCUGCAGGUGCCAGCCUAUGCCAUAGCCACAGCAAGAUGGGAUCCAAGCCAUCAGAUCCAAGUCUGUGACCUGCAGCGCAGCUCAUGGCAAUGCUGGAUCCUUAACCCACUGGAUAAGGCCAGGGAUUGAACCUGCAGCCUCAUAGAUACUAGUUGGGUUCAUAACCCACUGAGACACAGCAGGAACUCCCAUGAUUCACAAUUUAAUUUCUGGUAACAUUUUCACAAGUAGCAUCAAUAAUAAAAUUUUAACACUUUUUACAGAACAUAUUAUAUAUAAGGCACUCUAUUGAGUCCAUUCUACACAUUAUCACAUGAGUCCUUAAAAUAAACCCAUGAUUCAAGUGGUAUGCUGUCUAUUGUGUAAGUGCAGAAAUUGAUUUUUUUUAUGCUAAAAAUUUCCCUAAGUUAGUAGCCAGUAAAUUGUCAGGCCUCUUUUCUCAGCCAUAUUCUCUUGUACCCAGGGAGGAGAACAAAGGCCAAUAAUAGUGAGUCAGGGAGAAUAAAUUUGGGUUAAAUACAAUAAACAUUAUAAUGAUAAGGAUUGUCCAAACAAGAAUUGGCCACCCUGGUGGAUAUAGCUCCAUCACUGGAAGGGUUCCAGCAAAGGCUAGCUGGCCAUCUGUCAUGUUCCUUGCAGAAGCAAAUUCUGACUGGCUGGGAGGUUGAACUUAAUGAUUUUACAAUGCCCUUUCCGAUCCUGAGGCUCUGAUUUAAAAUCCCUGGUAACCUCUGUGAUUUCCAUUUCAAUUCUGUUUCUAAGUCUUUAUACAGCUGACUUGCUUCUCCAGUGUUCUGACUUCCUUUUAAUUUAGAGUGAACAUUUCUAGUUAAGAAUGGAAUUUGGAUAAUUUAUACUUUAAUAUAAUUCUCAUUGGAAAAAGAUAGAUGCUUAACUAUCCUCUAUGCCAACAUAACAAAGACAAAGCUAGAACAUUCCAGAGCCUACUUCAGGGCAGUAUCACAUUCAGAAGAAACUCUAAUUUCUUAUAAACAAAUGUUUAAAAAUGUUAAAUUUUGGAAUUAUCUUGUGGCACAGCAUGUUAAGGAUCCGGCAUUGUCAUUACAGCAACUUGGUUCACUGAUGUGGGUUCGAUCCAGGGGAACUUCCACGUGCCACAGGUCUGGUCAAUAAAUAAAUAAAAUUGAAAUGCCAUCUUUAAUGUUAAAAUAAGAUACCAAGCAUCAUACUAAGAGAAAAAAGAAAUUCCUUAAAGUCAUUUUUUCAUAAUGUAUUUUUCUUAUACUUAAAGUGAGUAAAGACAGCUGCUCCCUAAAUAUUUUCUCAUUUCAAGAGCCCUAACCCAAAUUCUAUACAAUUUAACCUCUGCUGGAAUUUACCCGUUUUCUACAGAUCUUUAAUUUUUUUCCUAAGAGUUUCCUAAACCCUUUCCUAUUUAAACAAGUUGAUCUUUCCUUUUCCUCCAGUUUUUUGUUUGUUUGUUUGUUUGUUUGUUUUUUAAGGGCUGCACAUGCUGCAUAUGGGAUUUCCCAGUCUAGGGGUUGAGCUGCAGCCACUGGCCUACACCACAGCCACAUAAAUGUUGGAUCGGAGUCAAAUAUGCAACCUGUACCACAGCUUGCAUCAACAUUGGACCCUUAACCUGCUGAGUGAAGCCAGGGAUCAGACCCACAUCCUCUUGGGUACUAGUUCUUAACCCGCUGAACCACAAUAGGAACUCCUUCCUCCAGUUCUUUAUUUCACCCAUUAACCUUGAGUAUCAUUCUCACAGAAGGCAGAAAAGAAGGGAGCCUCCAGAUACUCACAUUUUAUUAUAAAACUUAAGUAUUUAAGAACCUUCUCAAAGAAUAAAACGUAUCUACUUGUGCCACCUAUAGUUCUUGCUUAUCCACAGCCUGUCCCCCUCCUUCCUGACCUUUCUUCUCAAUCUCCAAGAGGAUCCAGUGGGAUCUUCUAAUGAUAAACAUUGACUGCAUCCUUUAAAGUCAUGUUUAACCAACUGAGGUGUGAGUAACUUAGACAAGUCCAGAGUAGUGAAUCACACUGGCUUUCAGAGUCAGUCCCCCCCAAUCCUGAUUCUAUUCCUCUUGAGAGAAGGAAGCUGGGAUGUCGGUCAUGUUUGUUGUCCCCCAGUCACAAUGGCCUACUUGAUGUUCUGCAUCUUCAGUUUAUCCCCAACAUUUUCCCACUCAUGCUUGCUUGGGUCUACAGCGUACAGGGAAUCUUCACCCAGUUUUCCAUAGCAAAAGUGAUUGAGGAGAUGGAGCUUCUGGCAUUCUUUGAAGCAUCAGCUGAAGUUGAAACCACUUAUCCAUAUCUACCUAGGUCAUAUUUUGAAGACUCCAAAUUUAGGAGGCUGUAGCAGCUCCAGGUUCUUAUCUAUUAUCUGGUGUUUCAGUCUGAGUUCUGCUACUUGAUUUGUUCCCAGGGAGACACCAUGAUCACCUUUUUUUUCUCCUCCCUUUUCCCCUUUCUCUCAUUAGCUUUCCUAACAGCAAGAAUCCAGGCAUCUGAUAUAGGUGGUGAAGUCUGAAAUAGUUUUGUAAUUUUUGGCCACAAAUUGGUACUGCACUGACCUGAUCUAGGAGUUUCUGAUCCUCAAAGUCACCUUCCACCACCUGCUGCCCAAUUAUCAGGUAGAGAAUUCUCUCCAGUUUGGAAGCGUGUGCAGCUCAGAAGUACCUUUCCUGACGACGUGCAGCUAUCAAAUAGACGUAAACAUUCUCAGCUCUUAUUCAUGCUUUCUAGGGGGUUCAUUCAGGCCGUCUACAGCCAAAAUAGAUUGCAUAGAGUUUAUAAAUAAAUCCUGAUCCUGGACCCCAUAGAUUCAUUUAAUUGCCAACAUUUCUCCUCCUUCCCCCACUUCUUGGUUCAUUGGAGAUUUUGUCCACAAGUCAGUGUUUCAUUUGUUUGUUUUUGCUUCUCACAUGGCCAUUGUAGUUAUCCCUGCACAUUGUUAAAAUUCUUUAACAGAGUAAAAGAAGGUUCAUGAAUUUUUUUUAUCUUUGUACGAGCAUUGUAACUUUACAUAUAUCACAUUAUUAAAGAUUGAUCCUGACACAGAGUGUCAGGGCUCCCUGUUAAACAGCAAAAGUCAUACUGCUUGGUGGUGACCCUAUCAAAGACACAGUUUAUAACUCACUAAGCCAACUUUGAAAUUAUUAAAUUCUUGAUGAAUUGUUUUUAAUUUGAGCUAGUCACAUAGUGUUACAUAUUGUGCACAAAGUGAGACUUAUUGGUAUUUUAUGUGAUGCUAUUUCUAAUUUGCAGAAUUCAAAUCCACAUAAAAUGCUACUAUACUGUAGCUUGUAACAUUGAUUCCAAAAUGUGCUUGAUUUAGUACCCCAGAGCCGGAGCUUAAUUCUCAGGGAUUUUGUCUUCAAAAUGUGGCCCAGGAAAAAGCCUGCAAUUAGCCCAUUAUGUCUGCUACUGACUACCUAUCCUGUCUGAUAGAAGGUCUGUAAUUCUUUAAGAUGUUGAACAUCCAUAGGAGCCACUUUAAAAAAAAAAAGUAUUUAAAAAAAUGUAUUUAACCUAAAAUUCACUAAGGUAGCCAUGGAAAUGUAUGGUUCAAAUCUCCUGCUCUGAGGAACCUAAUUGACAAAUGGCGUCAGCCAUUGUCCCACUAGAUCCAUCACCUCAGAGGCCACACUUUCCAUAGGAUGUUCCUACAGCCAGUGACUGCAAGCAAUUGAAGUGCUGAUCUGUUCCUGUGAGAUGUAGGACUCCUAUAAUGAUUAUUUAGACCCUUCUGGAAGCUUCCUUAAACAAUUGCAAUCUGAGAUUGUUCUUAUCCAACCCUCCUUCCUGCUACUCCUCUUUCCCUGGUAUUGUAUUUGCAUCCCAAUCUAAAGGUUCUCCUUGCCUUCUCCUACUCCCUUUAUCCUUCAUAGGCACUUCUUCCCCAGUAAAUCUCUUGCUUGUCUAACCCUGUCUUCACAUCUACUGUUCCACAGUAAUGAUCUUUAGACUUCCUCAGUUUCAUGAACAUCCACUUUUAAACUGUAUUGCCUAAGUACCAUAAUCUGAUCUCACAGAGGACUCUGCAGUAUCUCUCUGGCAAUGAGGAGGCAUUCUUGGGACCAGUGUUUCUCAGACUGGAUCAACAUCUAGCCUGUGUGACACCGGUCCAUUAAUUGGGAAGCCGUGAAGAAUAUAUACUCCUGUCUCAGGUGCAGGGCGAUGGUUUAAUCUGAGUUGAAUCUGAAUAUUGUAAUUUUUAUCCCAAAUUCCAGAUAUAUCUUCUAGAAUGAAAUCGAAUAAUGUUUGACUACUCCAUAAAUCUCAAAUCUUUAACUUUCCCAACAACUGUUAAAUAUCCCCUCCUCUCUCUAAACUUACUAAAAUUCUUCUUUCAAACUCACCCAGCCCAUGAUGCCUCAUAUUAUUCUCAGUCUCUGCACACACCCUUUAGAUCCUUCCUUUUCUCCCAAGUGUAGCUCUGUCUUUCCAGUGUCUGCAAAGCUAGCAUGUUGCUUCUCCACUUCACCUUUCACACCUUGCCUUUUUUUCUUAGGAGACAGAAAACUAGAGAGGAUAUCAACAUAAUGUUAACAAUUGUCUUUGUUCCUGUUACUGCUUCACACAAGUAAAUGGUUAUUCCAUCUCUACAGGCCUUACCUCCAGCAUCUUCUCACUCUCCAAUCAGCCCUAAGUCCGGUGAGAAACUCUCAGGCUUACUUUUGGGUCCUUCCAAGAGAGGCACUCGUGAAACUAGCCCAAGCAUUAGCAAUUCAGCACCUUUCAUAAUGAAAAAUCCUUUCAUCCAAGAAAAUUUAGGAGGCGGCAGAACGCCUGGCCUUGUGGCUAAUUCAGCAGUGAUCUCUCAUUCGCCCUGCUGAGGUCGUUCACCUCAGUCAGGGGUUGGCUAAGGCUGAAAGAGAAAGAAGUGCAUCCCUGCAGGCUAGUCAUGGUCCUCCUCCUGCCAUUCCUCCCUGUUGCACACCCCAUCAUCAAUCCUGGCCACCACUACCUGCUAGCUACUGCUUGGCCUGAAUUGGUAUUCUUCCUGCCUUACCAGUCUGCGCUUAGAUUUAUGAUUUACUUAGAAUUGGAUUACAUCAAGGCUCAAGGCCAAGGCGCCAUAAUCUGUCACCGUCUCCACCGUGGCCAAACACAAACAUUUGUUUUAGCUGCAUCAGCAUCCCUAAACUCUGUUCAAAGGAUACCCAUUGUUAAUCCCCAUAGCAACUGAAUCUUGUGUUUUUUUUCUUCUCCACCCCCAACUUCUUUGCCACCCUCCUUCUUGGUUCCAAAUAAAAGUAUUGUCUUCCUCAGGUGAUAGAUAUUCAUAAUUUAACAGAAUGGUGACAAGACUAAGUUAUGCUAUUGAAAUAUAUCACAGCCAGAGUUGCUUUGCUAUUUGUUUUUGUGCUGAAUAGCAGCAAGUGUUUUAAGUUAUGGGUCUCGUGCACACACACAAGGAGAAGAAAGGGAGUAUAUGUAAUUGUCUCUAGUAUUGAUGAUGGCUCCUUGCCUGCUUAGUAAAGUCUCAAGAUACAAAAUCAGGGUGCAUAUUUUUAUACUUUCUUAUUGUUUAUUAAUAAUAGUGAAAGGAACCAUAUUUGAUAUUUCUGUAGCUCAUCACAGUUAACAAAGAGCAAACAUUACAUCAUCCAAACUUUACAGUAUUUUGUUAAAUGAAGGUAUUUAUGCUCUAUUUUAUGGGUGAGGAAAUAUAAGUUCAGAGAAGUAAAGUAAUGAGUCUGUGCUUCUAAAGUUAGUAAGGAACAAGCAGAGAACUGAAGGCAGAUCUUUAAAUUCUAAACUGAAAGCUCCUCUGCUAUACCAUCUCUGCUUUUUUAACAAAUGAGA
rnacentral:lncRNA from 1 species